rnacentral:rRNA from 1 species
UGCGUAGGGGGCAAGCGUUGUCCGGAUUUAUUGGGCGUAAAGAGCGUGUAGGCGGCCAGAUAGGUCGGUUGUGAAAACUGGAUGGCUCAACCUCCAGACGUCGACCGAAACCAUCUGGCUAGAGUCCGGAAGAGGAGAGUGGAAUUCCUGGUGUAGCGGUGAAAUGCGCAGAUAUCAGGAAGAACACCCGUGGCGAAGGCGGCUCUCUGGGACGGUACUGACGCUGAGACGCGAAAGCGUGGGGAGCGAACAGG